rnacentral:rRNA from 1 species
UACAGAGGUGGCAAGCGUUGUUCGGAAUUACUGGGCGUAAAGGGCGCGUAGGCGGCCUUGUAAGUCCUGUGUGAAAUCCCCCGGCUCAACUGGGGAACUGCACAGGAGACUGCUUGGCUUGAGUUCGGGAGAGGGAAGCGGAAUUCCGGGUGUAGCGGUGAAAUGCGUAGAUAUCCGGAGGAACACCGGUGGCGAAGGCGACUUCCUGGCCUGUUCUUGACGCUGAGGCGCGAAAGCUAGGGUAGCAAACGGG